UACGUAGGGUGCGAGCGUUUGUCCGGAAUUAUUGGGCGUAAAGAGCUUGUAGGUGGCUCGUUGCGUCGGGAGUGAAAACCUGCGGCUUAACCGCAGGCCUGCUUCCGAUACGGGCGAGCUAGAGUUCGGCAGGGGAGACUGGAAUUCCUGGUGUAGCGGUGGAAUGCGCAGAUAUCAGGAGGAACACCGGUGGCGAAGGCGGGUCUCUGGGCCGAUACUGACACUGAGACGCGAAAGCGUGGGGGAGCAAACAGG
rnacentral:rRNA from 1 species